rnacentral:misc_RNA from 1 species
GAUGAAGAACGCAGCGAAAUGUGAUAAGUAAUGUGAAUUGCAGAAUUCAGUGAAUCAUCGAAUCUUUGAACGCACAUUGCGCCCCCUGGUAUUCCGGGGGGCAUGCCUGUUCGAGCGUCAUUUCACCACUCAAGCCUCGCUUGGUAUUGGGCAUCGCGGUCCGCCGCGCGCCUCAAAUCGACCGGCUGGGUCUUCUGUCCCCUAAGCGUUGUGGAAACUAUUCGCUAAAGGGUGUUCGGGAGGCUACGCCGUAAAACAACCCCAUUUCUAAGGUUGACCUCGGAUCAGGUAGGGAUACCCGCUGAACUUAAGCAUAUCAAUAAGCGGAGGA